GACGAACGCUGGCGGCGUGCCUAAUACAUGCAAGUUGAGCGCUGAAGGUUGGUACUUGUACCAACUGGAUGAGCAGCGAACGGGUGAGUAACGCGUGGGGAAUCUGCCUUUGAGCGGGGGACAACAUUUGGAAACGAAUGCUAAUACCGCAUAAAAACUUUAAACACAAGUUUUAAGUUUGAAAGAUGCAAUUGCAUCACUCAAAGAUGAUCCCGCGUUGUAUUAGCUAGUUGGUGAGGUAAAGGCUCACCAAGGCGAUGAUACAUAGCCGACCUGAGAGGGUGGUCGGCCCCAUUGGGACUGGGGCACGGCCCAAGCUCCUACGGGAGGCAGCAGUAGGGAAUCUUCGGCCAUGGACGAAAGUCUGACCGAGCAACGCCGCGUUAGUGAAGAAGGUUUUCGGAUCGUAAAACUCUGUUGGUAGAGAAGAACGUUGGUGAGAGUGGAAAGCUCAUCAAGUGACGGUAACUACCCAGAAAGGGACGGCUAACUACGUG
rnacentral:rRNA from 1 species